AGGAGCCGUGUGAAGGGAAACUUUCACGCACGGUUCUGAAUGGGAGGGGAUGGAGGCGACUCCAU
rfam:Arthrospira platensis NIES-39 DNA, nearly complete genome.